GGGAUUCGAACCGGGGACUCUCAGAUCUCAAUCCUGGGUCCAUACCACUCCACCACAAUGCCUGUUGAUGGAUGAAGCAAAUUUAAGAAUAUAUAAAAUAAAAAAGAGAUAUAAAAUGUCUCAGAGAACAGAGACAACAUAAAUUAGGUAGCAUCUUCAGACUGCUGCCCCUUCAAAUAAUCAUCUAUAGUAAUGCGCAUUACAACCAAUGCUUUAACAUGGGCAGGAUCUUUAUUGAAAGUGCGUGCAUGUUCUUGGUAGGGCUAGUACCUUCCAUGUGUUAUUGAAAGGCGCAUUACAAUGAAUAAAGAUCAUGGUAGAAGGGAGAACCUGAUCAACUGAAGGAAGACGAGGUGCUCGAACAAAAUUAUCAAAAUAUUUAUGUAAUUUCGACAUUUUAGCAUGUUAUUAAAUCAUUUUUUGGUUGUUUUUCGUAUAACUUUUAAUGAAUUCUGGUAGAUUCCUAUGUUAAUAUUUUCCAUAAUUUCUUCUGAAAUUUUGAUGUAAUGCCGCAUUACAUGCACGCUACGCCACUGUUA
rnacentral:lncRNA from 1 species